UAAAGAUUCAUCGCUGAUAGAUAGGCAUGCGUUCCAUUAGGCAGUUGGCGGGGUAACGGCCCACCAAACCGACGAUGGAUAGGGGUUCUGAGAGGAAGGUCCCCCACAUUGGUACUGAGACACGGACCAAACUCCUACGGGAGGCAGCAGUGAGGAAUAUUGGUCAAUGGGCGUAAGCCUGAACCAGCCAAGUCGCGUGAGGGAUGAAGGUUCUAUGGAUCGUAAACCUCUUUUAUAAGGGAAUAAAGUGUGGGACGUGUCCUAUUUUGUAUGUACCUUAUGAAUAAGGAUCGGCUAACUCCGUGCCAGCAGCCGCGGUAAUACGGAGGAUCCGAGCGUUAUCCGGAUUUAUUGGGUUUAAAGGGUGCGUAGGCGGCCUUUUAAGUCAGCGGUGAAAGUCUGUGGCUCAACCAUAGAAUUGCCGUUGAAACUGGGGGGCUUGAGUAUGUUUGAGGCAGGCGGAAUGCGUGGUGCAGCGGUGAAAUGCUUAGAUAUCACGCAGAACCCCGAUUGCGAAGGCAGCCUGCCAAGCCAUGACUGACGCUGAUGCACGAAAGCGUGGGGAUCAAACAGGAUUAGAUACCCUGGUAGUCCACGCAGUAAACGAUGAUCACUAGCUGUUUGCGAUACAGUGUAA
rnacentral:rRNA from 1 species